GACGCUGGCGGCAGGCCUAACACAUGCAAGUCGAGCGGUAACAGAAAGUAGCUUGCUACUUUGCUGACGAGCGGCGGACGGGUGAGUAAUGCUUGGGAACAUGCCUUGAGGUGGGGGACAACAGUUGGAAACGACUGCUAAUACCGCAUAAUGUCUACGGACCAAAGGGGGCUUCGGCUCUCGCCUUUAGAUUGGCCCAAGUGGGAUUAGCUAGUUGGUGAGGUAAUGGCUCACCAAGGCGACGAUCCCUAGCUGGUUUGAGAGGAUGAUCAGCCACACUGGGACUGAGACACGGCCCAGACUCCUACGGGAGGCAGCAGUGGGGAAUAUUGCACAAUGGGCGCAAGCCUGAUGCAGCCAUGCCGCGUGUGUGAAGAAGGCCUUCGGGUUGUAAAGCACUUUCAGUCAGGAGGAAAGGUUAGUAGUUAAUACCUGCUAGCUGUGACGUUACUGACAGAAGAAGCACCGGCUAACUCCGUGCCAGCAGCCGCGGUAAUACGGAGGGUGCGAGCGUUAAUCGGAAUUACUGGGCGUAAAGCGUACGCAGGCGGUUUGUUAAGCGAGAUGUGAAAGCCCCGGGCUCAACCUGGGAACUGCAUUUCGAACUGGCAAACUAGAGUGUGAUAGAGGGUGGUAGAAUUUCAGGUGUAGCGGUGAAAUGCGUAGAGAUCUGAAGGAAUACCGAUGGCGAAGGCAGCCACCUGGGUCAACACUGACGCUCAUGUACGAAAGCGUGGGGAGCAAACGGGAUUAGAUACCCCGGUAGUCCACGCCGUAAA
rnacentral:rRNA from 1 species